AUGGGAAGUGAGGUCUAGGCUCUCUUCUCGCCUCUGCCGCCCAGGUUAGGAGGACCAAGAUGGAGGGACGCGUGAAAUGGCAAGUGUAGGUCUUUUCAGGGACCAGGACGUCGCAUGUUUACACUUCUACCCCCACGACUCAGCCCAGAUGACUGGAAAAUGUCCGUUACCAUAUCCUUUUUUCUCGGAACUUAGCUGUUGCCCAGGACACAGAGGGCCAGACAGAGAAGGAACUCUGCUACUCGAGGGGAGGAAAUCUGACCUUGUGCAACACUCCUGCAGAGGAGAGGGAAUGAAUAUACACUCUCCGUGUGGGCGGCAGAGUGAUGGAGCGUGGGCUUUGCGUUCAGAGAGGCAUGGAUUCCUAUCCCGGUUCCUCCACUGCGCACUGCUUCCGUUUACAGAUGGGUAUAUAGGAUACACUAGUGUCUACGGGAAAAAAAGCCGAACUCUGUAAAAUAACUUUAAGGAGAUUUACUCUGAGCCAAAUUUGAGGACCAUGACCCGGAGCCACGCCCAAGAAGCCUUGAAGACCAGCUCUGCUGCCACCAUACCGAGAAAAACUAAGUCAUAAUGUUGACCAGGAAAAUCAACAGAACACUUGGAUUCCUCCCUCAUCUUCUAGAUGUGCAGGCUGAAAAAUUUAUGGAUGAAAUUAUCUGUGGAUACAACAAGAUGGCCAUUUGCAAACCAGGAGGAGAGCCCUCACCAGAUAUCGGAUCUGCCAGCACUUUGAUCUUGGACUUUCCAGCCCCCAGAACUGUGAGAAAUAAA